rnacentral:lncRNA from 1 species
CAAAUGGAAGAGGAUGUUCCUACUACAACUGUAAUAGCCGUCGGACCCUCGAAAAGAAGACUGGCCACGCUAAAUAAGUCUUCAUUAAGUGCAACUCCGACAAACGAAACAGACGCUACCAAUGACGCACCCCAACAGUGCCCUACCAAAACUAAAGUUCUUCCCCCGCGUAAGGGCCGGGGGCAAAAAUAUGAAGCCUUGGUGCAAAAAAUGACAUCCCCUGCCUCAAAAAAACACCCAAUUCUUCAAGCAGAAGACAGUUUAGCAGAUGAGUUGGCAUCUAAGGCUUUCUCUCAGAGUUCAGUUAAGGGGAGUGAAACGGUCCCCAACACUACAGAGAUUAUGGAGGAAGCGAACAGCACAGACAUCAAAGUAGAUGAGGUUAAAGAACAGGAAAUCCCAGUGCAAGCAGAAGAGGACCCUAAACCUCAAAUAAGAGAGGAGGAAAAGGAAGGAGAAAAGUGCGAUAAUAAAGAAGUUGAACAAAAAGAACAAAAAGAAGAGUCAAGCUCACAAUCAAAUCCAACUAAAGUGGAAAUGAGUGCAGAGGUGACACAAGGAGCAGUGUGUGCCACUGUAGAUACUCCAAAGCCUGUGAAAGCUAAGAAGAAGAGGUGGGCAAUCGUGGAGAGCACAGAAGCAGCUUUAGACACAGACAGUCUUAUAGUCACAACACCGAGGCUGGCAAAGCAGAGAGCGAUUAAAAACAACCAUGAGAUGCAUCUUAAACAGAGAAGGAAGAAAAGAAAGGACACAGAAGCAGUUAGUGAGGAUAAUGCUGAGGCUAAUGCUGAGGCUAACACGGAGGCUCAUGUGGAAACAGCAGAGCUACAACAGAAGACUGAGGCGAAGGAAUCGGAUCUUGCAACACCCGUGCCUAUAAGCACAAAGGAGGUCACUGAAGCUGUGCCGCUGAGCAGGACAGAGCUCACAGAGAAACCCAGGAGAGGAAGAAAACCAUCAGUGAAUCAGACCAACAGAAAGAGAGGGAGAGCGUCAUUAGAAAACACUACAGAAAAGCCAAUAAAGCUCCAUAAAAAACCUGGACCAAAACCGGGAAUGAAGGACGCUCUAGAAGUUAUUGAGGCUGUGGUCAGGGCAGCAAGCUGUGAACAGGCCCAAAAAGAAGAGAAGGAGAAAGCGGAGACACAGGGAAAAUGCAGGAGGGAAAAAGAGGAGCCGUGUGUUGAGGGGCCUGUAGUAUCAGUUUUAGAGAAACAGAGUGAAACCAUAUGUGUGAAGAAAUUUAGACGCAGAACAGUCACGCAAAACUCCAAACUGUCGUUCUGUCCGUAUGUGCGGCUUAGCAACUCAAGAGACUUUUCAU